UACGUAGGUGACAAGCGUUGUCCGGAUUUACUGGGCGUAAAGAGCGCGCAGGCGGUCGAUCAAGUCGAGUGUGAAAGCCCCCGGCUCAACUGGGGAGGGUCAUUCGAAACUGAUCGACUUGAAGGCAGGAGAGGGUAGUGGAAUUCCCGGUGUAGUGGUGAAAUGCGUAGAUAUCGGGAGGAACACCAGUGGCGACGGCGACUACCUGGCCUGUGAUUGACGCUGAGGCGCUAAAGCUAGGGGAGCCAACGGG
rnacentral:rRNA from 1 species